GGGGGGGGGGGGGGGGGGGGGGGGGGGGGGGGGGGGGGGGGGGGGGGGGGGGGGGGGGGGGGGGGGGGGGGGGGGGGGGGGGGGGGGGGGGGGGGGGGGGGGGGGGGGGGGGGGGCCUAACCAAUCAGCGCCCGCAUCGCAGCGCGCGGGCGAAACCAAACGAGAGCGCGGGCGAUGGAGCGGGUGAGGCCUGAAGGGUCCGGGGGGGACAGAGGGGGGACUUGGGGGAUCCCUGAAGGGAAUCUGGGGGGCUGGCGGGGACCCCGCGUCACUCCCCGCAUCCCCCCCGCAGAAGCUCAGCCUGGAGCAGCGAACGGAGCGUCUGAUGCAAAGGAGGUGGGAGAGCAGCCCGGCCUCAAGUGCCGCUCGGUAUCUCCAGGAGACUGGAGUCAUACUGGGAUCAUUCUGGGAGUAGCUGGAACCACACGGGAGCAACGGGAACCACGCUGGCAGUGACCGGAUGACGUCGGACGAGAGACGGCCCCGGGAGCGGCGAGGGGCGGGGCGCCGGGGGCGGGGCCAUGCAGAUUUAAGCUAAUGAGCGCGCGGCCGCCGCGGCGGGGGGGGGGGGGGGGGGGGGGGGGGGGGGGGGGGGGGGGGGGGGGGGGGGGGGGGGGGGGGGGGGGG
rnacentral:lncRNA from 1 species